rnacentral:rRNA from 1 species
GACGUAGGGGGCCAGCGUUGUUCGGAAUUACUGGGUGUAAAGGGUUCGUAGGCGGUGCGGCAAGUCGGGAGUGAAAUCUCUGGGCUUAACCCAGAGGCUGCUUCCGAAACUGCUGUGCUUGAGUGUGGGAGAGGCGCGUGGAAUUGCAGGUGUAGCGGUGAAAUGCGUAGAUAUUGGGAAGAACACCGGUGGCGUAAGCGGCUUGCUGGGCUUUAACUGACGCUGAGGAACGAAAGCUAGGGUAGCGAAUGGG